rnacentral:misc_RNA from 1 species
AAUUCUCAAACCUUCUUGGUUUUUGGACCAAGAUGGCUUUGGACUUUGGAGGCGUUUUGCUGGCUUUGUGAAAAGCCAGCUCCUCUCAAAUGCAUUAGUGGGGUCCACUUUGCCGAUCCCCAGGCGUGAUAAGAUGCUUUCUACGUCUUGGGAUUUGCUCUGUUCCUCGGGAACCUGCUUUCAAACCGUCUCGUGAGAGACACCGUUCGAGUUUGCUCGGCGCACGAA